UUGGUAAAUCGAAAAGUUUGCAUUUGAUUAGGCGAACCUAUAGGGUAUAAAACCUUUUUUCAGACGAGUAUUUUCUAUCUGUAACUAACGUCAUUGUACCUAUAAUACCUGAACUGCCAUCAGCAAAUUGACGAUAUUUAAUAUUAGAUCAUGAUAAAAUAUAUCUAACGAAAUUGGAAAUGUUACAUUUAUAAAUUUACAGUUUAAUCUUGAUAACUUAAACAACAUCAACUUUUUAUUUUAUGAAUGCUAUUGCGUUCGUUUUUAACCUAGUUCUCUAAGCACUGGCCUGAUAAUAGAAGAAUUCUAGUGAGUUGCAAGCGAGGCUCAUGGCUGUAACGAUGGAGCUUGAGGAGAGCGCGUCAGACUCGAAAUUACAUCGAGAUAGCACGGGGAAGAGGGAUCUGCGGCCGUCGAGUGCUGUCUCGUUCUCCAAGUCGGAACAUGGCCCAGAAUCUUCUUCAUCGAGCGAACAAUUAAAGCAAUACAAAAGUUGGGUGAGCAGCGAGCGAUGGAAUGAGCUGAAAAAGAUCGCUGAUAGCGCCAUGAGGGAACAUAAAGUGUUUAUGAUAAAAGGAGGAGGAUUUCCAGCGGUGCGCCGAGCACUCCUCGAGAGAGGGUGGAUUGAGAAAUAUGAGUCCCAUAAGGUAUUCCAUAGCUUACCGCCGGGGGUCCGCCAUCCUCCAACGAACGUGGAUCCCAAAAAAUUGCAUGGCAAAGAACUCUCUAAAGUUGAAAGAAUGAUUUUAUACAAAUUCAUGGAACACCAUUCUGUGGACUUUCUCUGGACCACCAAGAGAGACAAAUAUGAUUGGUUGCUUAGUAACAAGGAUGUCAUAAUAAGCAGGUUUUGCAGAUCGAUUUUCACCACAAAAGAAGGCCUAACUACUUCUUUGACACAAAUGCACUGGCACACCGAACCGGGAGUGGCGUUGACUAAGUUCCCACGCUGUUACAACAUCCACAACUCGGACAGCCUCGAGGAAUUUAUCGACGAUUUUAGAAUAACAGCCUGCAUCAGUGUCCUUAAAUGGCUAUCAAAUGCAUUACAAGCGAGCAACGAGCAAGAUCUUGUUACGGCUAACGGAAAAGUUCCAUUCACCGCAAUAGAAUUUGCCAUCAGUAGAUUGAACGAGUAUAUCGUGUUCCUCACUCAUAAGGACAUCGAUGAUACAGAAGACCAAGCGCAUGUCUGGGAACAUGAAUGGGAUCAGUUUUUGACGCACCACUAUCUCUUGGUCCACGAGAAAGCCAAGUUUAUGGAAGACAAAAGUUUCAACAUUCGACAACUGGAAAGGAAGGGUUUGAAGAUCUUAGCUACAAUGACGAAGUACUGGCCUCAAAUAGACAUCGAUGGCGUACUAAACAUAUGGAUCGUGAAACCUGGAAACAAGUGCCGCGGCCGGGGCAUUCAGCUCAUGAAUAACAUCAAAGACAUAAUAGGCCUUAUAAACAUACCCGCUCAGAAAACUAGAUAUGUCGUGCAGAAAUAUAUUGAAAAUCCUCUCGUGAUCUACAACACUAAAUUCGAUAUACGCCAGUGGUUUCUUAUUACGAAUUGUCAGCCAUUAACCAUUUGGGUGUACAAGGACAGUUACCUAAGAUUUAGCUCACAAAUAUUCAGUUUGUCGAACUACCACGAGUCCGUACAUCUCACGAACAAUGCCGUACAGACGAAAUAUAAGAACGUGAGUGAGCGCGACAAAGCUUUACCAGAUGAGAACAUGUGGGACUGUCAUACUUUUAAAGCCUAUCUCAGACAGAUAGGAAAAUAUGAACUCUGGGAGGAGAAAAUAUAUCCUGGGAUUAAACAAUGCUUGAUUGGCGCCAUGUUGGCAUCCCAGGAGAGCAUGGAUAAAAGACAAAAUAGCUUCGAACUAUAUGGAGCUGAUUUUAUGCUGACUGAAGAUUUCACACCAUGGCUUAUUGAGAUCAACUCUAGUCCUGAUCUAGCGCCCACUACAUCAGUUACUGCUCGAUUAUGUCCUCAAUGUCUAGAGGACGUUAUAAAAGUUGUUCUGGACCGGCGCUACAAUCUGGAAGCAGACACUGGAACUUUUGAAUUAGCUUACAAACAAACCAUACCAAAAGCUCCGGCGUAUCUGGGUUUAUCCUUAUGUAUCAACGGCAAGCGGGUUGUAAGGAAGUUGAAAGAGCGUAAACAUGAGCCAAAAAUUAUAGUUAAUCCAUCACCACUUCGCGUACCCUCGGGAGACGCUAUCAUCGCAGAUCAAGACCAGCCGGUCCCAGCUGAGUACAGUGGUCCAAUCAUAACAGACUUCCUCACUUGGUUGAACCCGUACGACGCUUUACCGACAAAUAGAGACGGAAUUGUAUUAGGGCCCAAAGAAUCCCUCACGGACCCAUCGAGGAAGACGAGAAAGAAAUACGGACUGUAAACGACGAAUCGUGCCUCAUUCGUGCUGUCGACCAGAUGAAGGUCAAUUCGCUAAUCAGACUGGUAAAUACCGGACUGAAUCAGCGAGCAAAGCCGAGAAGACCAAGGUUGACAGACACUCCCGAUUUCCAUGGAACCUUUUCCGUUUAAGCCUCAUUCCUUAUGUGACUCCAAGUAAUAAAUACUGUUCAGUAACAAAAUAGAUAAGUAUAUCAUUGUCAAAAUCUCAUGUUAAGUCGUCAAAGUCAGUGUGUUCCAUCAAAUUUUUUGUUGAAAUUAUGCGGUAAAAUGUAAAAAAAAUAAUAUAAAAAUUAUAAUCUGCGGCCAAUAAUGUUAAUAAUAAUUACAGAAAAAUGUCGCCAAUAAGUGAAAAGGUAAUUGUUUUAUUUUAUCCAGUGAGUAAAUAAUGAAUUUUGGCCUAAAAUAAAGAAAGAUUGAUUAACCUAGAAGCUCUAGUGAUUCUGCUCUUACAAUAUUGAACCUUAUCAGUCAAUUUAAAGUCAUGUAAGCAGCGGCGACAUACAGAGAAAUUCUAGGGCUAUUUUUGACUGCACUACUCCCGUUGCCCACAUUAUGAUAUUAGGAACAUAAUUUAAAAUUAAGUUUCGCAGUAAGUAUAACAAACCACAACAAAGUGGAAACCCACAGAGCAUUGUUGUUUAUGGGCAACUAGGCGUACCUACUUCACGAAUACAUUAUUUUCUUCCAAGUUUUAUGUUAUGCUUAUUUUUCAUCCUAUUUUUUUAUGAUAAAUACAGAAUACACAGGUUUACCCUUGACGAAAAUGAAUCCGCUUAAAAAUGCCGGGCCGAAAAAAGAAAAUUAUAAAACGUAAAAAG
rnacentral:misc_RNA from 1 species